UACGGAGGGUGCGAGCGUUAAUCGGAAUUACUGGGCGUAAAGCGCAUGCAGGCGGUCUGUUAAGCAAGAUGUGAAAGCCCGGGGCUUAACCUCGGAACAGCAUUUUGAACUGGCAGGCUAGAGUCUUGUAGAGGGGGGUAGAAUUUCAGGUGUAGCGGUGAAAUGCGUAGAGAUCUGAAGGAAUACCAGUGGCGAAGGCGGCCCCCUGGACAGAUACUGACACUCAGAUGCGAAAGCUAGGGUAGCAAAUGGG
rnacentral:rRNA from 1 species